rnacentral:tRNA from 1 species
GCUCAGUUGGUAGAGCAUGGUGUUUGUAACGCCAGCAUGGUGUGUGCAAUGCCAGGGUUGUGGGUUCGAUUCCCAC